CCUCUUUGACAAUAAUGAAAAUUUUAGUCCCUGCAUUCCCUUUUGACUUCCAAAUUAUCCUCGGUCCGAACCUCCAUUGCUGCCGACUUGCUGCUCCUGCAUCAGUUUAUGACUUUUUAACUAGUUUCUUGACAAGCUUUUCCAAUGAAUUUUCCAAUUGCAUGUAGCUAGUAUCUGACAUGAAUACAGCCUAACAUCUCCUUCCUUGAUUUUUUCCUAUGCUGCUUAGAGUCUUCAAAAAUGUCGGCAAGUUCGUGUCCAAUCAUUCAAAAGUAGUUCAUUUUUGAAGAAUUCAAUGUGGGUACGGCAUCAUUUUUGGAGAUUCCAAGCAACAUAAUUUUUUUCUAUCCUGACUUAGUGACUACCUUCCAUAUAUAUUGCAUUGUGUUCUAGUAUAAAAAUUCAUACAUUUCUGACCAUUUGUUCCGCGCCUUCCUCG
rnacentral:lncRNA from 1 species